AUUGAACGCUGGCGGCAUGCUUUACACAUGCAAGUCGAACGGUAACAGGCCUUCGGGUGCUGACGAGUGGCGAACGGGUGAGUAAUGCAUCGGAACGUACCCUGAGGUGGGGGAUAACGCAGCGAAAGCUGUGCUAAUACCGCAUGUGAUCUGAGGAUGAAAGCGGGGGACCGCGCAGCAAUGUUUGGCCUCGCGCCUUUGGAGCGGCCGAUGUCGGAGUAGCUAGUUGGUGGGGUAAAGGCCUACCAAGGCGACGAUCCGUAGCUGGUCUGAGAGGACGACCAGCCACACGGGGACUGAGACACGGCCCAGACUCCUACGGGAGGCAGCAGUGGGGAAUGGUGGACAAUGGGCGCGAGCCUGAUCCAGCAAUGCCGCGUGCGGGAAGAAGGCCUUCGGGUUGUAAACCGCUUUUGGCAGGAACGAAACGGUGUCCGCUAAUACCGGGCGCUAAUGACGGUACCUGCAGAAUAAGCACCGGCUAACUACGUG
rnacentral:rRNA from 1 species